GGAUGUGAGGGCCAUCUGGCUGCGACAUCUCAUGUCACCCCAUGGAUCACCAGGGUUGAUUCGGCUGAUCUGGCUGAUUAGGUGGGUGUCCCCUUCCUUCCUCACUGCUCUAUGUGCAUCUUUCCAGAAGCUGCAUGCGGUGGAAGAGGACAGCCACCCCGAUAGAGGAGGACCGUUUCCUCAGUCAAGGAUAUACGAGUAGAUGUGCUCCCCUGCUAGAACCUCCAAACAAGCUCUCAAGAUUUGCGUACACACAAACAUAUGAAUUAAUGUAACUUUGCUAGACAUAAGUUUAAUGAAUUACAUGCAUUGGCUUUUGAC
rfam:Fukomys damarensis contig118488, whole genome shotgun sequence.